rnacentral:rRNA from 1 species
UACGGAGGAUCCGAGCGUUAUCCGGAUUUAUUGGGUUUAAAGGGUGCGCAGGCGGGGGAUUAAGUCGGCGGUGAAAUUUUGCAGCUCAACUGUAAAAGUGCCUUCGAAACUGGUUUCCUUGAGUGUAGAUGAAGUAGGCGGAAUUUGUGGUGUAGCGGUGAAAUGCAUAGAUAUCACGAGGAACUCCGAUUGCGCAGGCAGCUUACUAAACUACUACUGACGCUCAGGCACGAAGGCGUGGGGAUCAAACAGGAUUAGAUACCCGGGUAGUCCCUGA